rnacentral:rRNA from 1 species
AUGCCGUAUGUUCAGGCCCCCGAUGAUUCCACCCAAUUUCCAACGCAUAAUUCUGGACCGCAAGAAAACCGGACCUCUGAUUUACAUACAGGUAUGAUGUUCAUUAUUACUUUGUUAUCUACUCGGCAAACAUUGUUUAGUUCCUUUUUUAUCGAGCGUAUCCGGUAUGAUAGUGUGGUUCAGUCAUCAUCAUUUUAUGAUACCAUUUUUAUUAAUAUUUUUGUUAUUAAGCAUAACAAAAUUUCUUUAUCAUCAAGGUCAUCUUGUGCUCUCUGGAUGUUAAAUUUCAUGGAGUACUUCACGGGAGAUAGUUUGUCCGACACUCCCGAACAGGUAUAUUUUGCAUCGUAUCAUGAUACUAAUUAUUUUGUGUUGUAUCAUUAUUUGAAAACUAAGUCUUAUUACUACUUCACUUUAGGUUCACAUGACAUAUUUUAG